CGAACUAGCACUAACUGCACCAAGUUCACUGGAAAAGACACAUUUGGGAUUCAAAUAUAAAAGUUUAAGAGUUCACCACAACACAACAAAAAACACAACACACACAUCGCCUCUUUCAUUAAACAAUUCGAAAAUCACAAAAUAUUUCUGCUCUCUGUGUCAUUGUUUUCUCCGGCACAAAGAAGAGCACCUCUGCUCAGAUGCCAAUUUAAGGAAUGUUUUAGGUUCAUUGAGCUGCAUUUUCUAAUUCUAUGUUAUGAAAGUUUUCAUUUUAAUCCAUUUAUAAGCCCUUUCUAAGGUACCCUUUUCUUGUCAGGUUCUGAAAAUCCGAGAAAAUACAGUUCCAGUACACCUAAAUUUGUUUAUUCUCAGCCCAACAACCGAAAACUUAUUUUACUAAUUACCCAGGUCAUACAUUUCGAUUUGUUGAGCAAAUGCACUUCCUGUGACCUCAAAAAUUCAUAGAAUUUUUGCUUUAAGGGAAAGGGAAAAGGGUUCAUGCUCUUUUUCACUUUCUCAUUUGGAUCAUCACAGGAAUUGUUUUGUUUUGUCAAUUCUGAUCCGCACCAUCCCAAUUAGUGUAAUCAACUUCUUACCAAAAAUGUCUGAAUCCAAUCCAAACAUUCCCUUGAUUCCACAGCUGUCCUCGCGAAACCUCCCUGAUUUCAAACAAUCUGUGAAGCUGAAAUAUGUGAAACUUGGCUACCAUUACCUCAUCACCCAUGGAAUGUACCUGUUUUUGUCGCCUUUGAUUGUUCUAAUAGCAGCGCAACUCUCUACAUUCUCAUUUCAAGAUGUCUAUGACCUGUGGAACCAACUCCAGUUCAAUCUCAUAUCUGCGAUACUUUGCUCAACUCUCCUUGUCUUUCUAUCAACCCUUUAUGUUCUUACUCGUCCCCGCCCAAUCUACCUUGUUGAUUUCUCGUGCUAUAAGCCAGAGGAUGCCCGGAAAUGCACAAGGCAGGCGUUCAUGAAUCGGUCCUGUUUGACAGGGACAUUCACUGAGGAAAACCUCGAGUUCCAACGGAAAAUUAUAGAGAGGUCAGGUCUUGGAGAGUCAACUUAUCUUCCUGAAGCGGUUUUGAGAAUUCCUCCAAACCCAUCAAUGGCAGAGGCAAGGAAAGAAGCUGAGAUGGUAAUGUUUGGUGCCCUUGAUCAGCUUUUUGAGAAAACACGUUUGAAACCAAAAGACAUUGGGAUUUUGAUCGUGAAUUGUAGCUUGUUUAAUCCAACACCGUCGCUCUCUGCCAUGAUCAUUAACCGUUACAAGCUUCGAGGGAAUAUCAUUAAUUAUAAUCUGGGUGGAAUGGGUUGUAGUGCUGGUUUGAUCUCAAUUGAUCUUGCUAAAGAUCUUCUUCAAGUUCAUCCCAAUUCGUAUGCUUUGGUGAUUAGCAUGGAGAAUAUCACUUUGAAUUGGUAUUUUGGGAAUGAUAGAUCGAUGCUUGUUUCGAAUUGUUUGUUUCGAAUGGGAGGGGCUGCAAUUUUGCUUACAAACAAGAGGUCUGAACAAUGUCGAUCCAAGUAUCGAUUAGUUCAUACAGUUCGUACCCACAAAGGAGCUGAUGAUAAGUGCUUCUCUUGUGUUACUCAACAAGAGGAUUCCACUGGGAGGAUUGGAGUUUCUUUGUCUAAGGAUCUAAUGGCAGUUGCUGGGGAUGCUUUAAAGACUAAUAUAACAACAUUGGGUCCUCUUGUGUUGCCUAUGUCUGAACAAUUGCUCUUCUUUGCUACGUUGGUUGGAAAAAAAAUUUUCAAGAUGAAAGUGAAGCCAUACAUCCCAGAUUUCAAACUGGCUUUUGAGCAUUUCUGCAUUCAUGCCGGAGGAAGAGCUGUGCUGGAUGAAUUGGAGAAGAACUUGCAGCUUUCGGAUUGGCAUAUGGAACCUUCAAGGAUGACACUCAACCGUUUUGGCAACACCUCAAGUAGCUCUCUUUGGUAUGAAUUGGCUUAUACAGAAGCCAAGGGGAGAGUGAAGAAGGGAGACAGAAUAUGGCAGAUAGCGUUUGGAUCCGGGUUCAAAUGUAACAGUGCAGUUUGGAAGUCUCUAAAGACUGUGAAUCCAGCAAAGGAGAACCCAUGGAUGGAUGAGAUUCAUCAGUUCCCAGUGAAUGUUCCUAAGAUCUCGACCAUCUGAAUGCGACGGUGACAGGUCCUCUGCUCUUUGAGUGGUGAAUCCUUCUUGUUUUUUUUGUUUCAAUGGGGAUCCAGAUUAUGGUUUUUUAUUUCUUAUUUUAGGUUGGAAAGGUGCUAGGACUGGUGUAUUUUCGUUUUCUAAAUCUUUCUUUUGGUAUUUGUUUCCAGAUUCCAGACUAGGAGAAGGUGUUUUCACGUUAUCUUGGAAGUCCAUGGCAGUAGAUUGAGGGAGAAAAUGGGCAUUUGCACAUAAUUUACAAACUAUGCAGCAAAAUGCCUCUGUUUUUUAAACUCGAUUUUAACAAAAUUGAGUUCUAUGUUUAUGUAUACUUUUAAGUUAGCAAUGUCGAGUUCCACUUAAAUUUUUUUAAAAAUCUAAGUGGCAAAAUAUGCAUAGAACUCGACAUUGCUAAUGUCGAGUUUCACUUGUGACUCGAUUUUGUUGAAGUCAAGUUUAAAAAAUAGAGAUAUUUUGCUAAAUAGUUUCAAAACAAGAGCAUUUUGCUGCAUAAUUUGUAAAUUAAGGGCAAAUGCCCAUUUUUUCCUAGAUAUUGAGAUCAAUAAUUUUUGAAGGGAAUGGAACUUUGAUCAUUGUCUUCAUCUGGAUAUUUUGAAUUGCUAUCACGAUCAUCAAAUAGCAAUCAUGAAUAUCACUUACCGCGGAUAAUAUAACUCU